UGGCCGGUAUAUAUUGUAUAUAAAACACUCCUUCAAUGCCAGGUGAAAAUCCUCAACUGUUCCUAGGACAUGGAACAUUGAAUGUAGAGCGGAAAAAGUAAGGCAGCACUCCGGUCUUCAAGCUUGACAAAGGCUCCAUUG